rnacentral:rRNA from 1 species
GAAUUCACAAUGGCAUGUUUCUCAUGUACUGAGUGAAAUUAAACUAUGAAUGCCAAAUGUUUUAUUCCUGCAGUCAGACUAUGGGGGAUAAGCUCCAUGGUCAUGAGGGGAAGAGCCCAGACUUACAAAUAAGGUCCCUAAAUUUAGCUAAGUGGAAAAGGAAGUUGCGAUUCAUAUACAACUAGGAUGUUGGCUUAGAAGCAGCCACCAUUUAAAGAGUGCGUAACAGCUCACUAGUCUAGUUUUGCAGCACCAACAAUACAACGGGGCUAAGCUAAAUACCGAAUUUUGAGAUUAUAUUUUUUAUUAAAUAUAGUGGUAGGCGAGUGUUAUAAAAGCAAUGAAGACUGAGUGUGAACACAGUUGGAGUUUUUAUAAGCAAGAAUGCUGGCGUGAGUAACGAAUGAAAGUGAAAAUCUUUCUAGCCAAUUGACCAAGGUUUCCAGGGCCAGGUUCAUCCGCCCUGGGUUAGUCGAACCUAAGAUGAGACUGAAAAGUGUAAUCGAUGGAUUGCAAGUUAAUAUUCUUGCACUGGCUUAAUUAGUGAUGGGUUGACAGAAUAGGUUAAUAUGAGCAGAUUAAUGGAUUUCUGUUUAAAUUUUUAGUAGUAUUGUGCAGUAAAAUGCGCACAAUAGCUUUUUGCAACUAUAAGAAAUGAAUACGAGCGAAACCUUUGGGCGGUAGCGAAGUCAUAUAUAUCAAAUUCUCAAGAAAAGACUCUAAACUUAUAAUUUUGUCAUUCGUACCGAGAACGAACACACGUGGUCAAGGAGAAAAUCCUAAGGCUUUCGAGAUAACUACAGUUAAGGAACUCUGCAAAUUAACCUUGUAACUUCGGGAGAAAAGGUGCCUAGAAAUAGGCCACAGUAAAGAAUAAGGGGGGACUGUUUAACAAAAACAUAGCUUUAUGCAAAAUCGAAAGAUAACGUAUAUGAGGUGACACCUGCCCAGUGCCAGAAGGUCAAUGAAGGGUGUUAGAGAAAUCAAAGCACUUAACUUAAGCCCUGGUGAACGGCGGCCGUAACUAUAACGGUCCUAAGGUAGCGAAAUUCCUUGUCAGGUAAAUUCUGUCCCGCUUGAAUGGUGUAACCAUCUCUUAACUGUCUCGACUGUAGGCUCGGUGAAAUCCUGGUGAGAGUGAAGACACUCUCUUGCCACUAUGGGACGGAAAGACCCUAUGAAGCUUUACUGUAGCUUGAUAUUGAAACAAUUUAAUGAUUUUAGAGAAUAAGCAGGAGGCUAAGAAAACUAGGCGCUAGCUUAGUUGGAGCCAACAGUGGAAUACUGCUAUUUUUUUAAAUUUUUUCUUACAUUUUCCCUUAUAUCAGGGGAAUGGACAGUGUUAGGUGGGCAGUUUGACUGGGGCGGUCACCUCCUAAAAAGUAACGGAGGUGUGCAAUGGUGCCUUUAAUAUGGUUGGAAAUCAUAUUUGAA